rnacentral:misc_RNA from 1 species
ACAUCCGUGCAAACCCUGCGAAUCGUGGACGUCCCCCAAGGGGGCGGUGGUUGCGGUGCUCGCUUGCGCCCUCGCGGGCGUGGGUGCGGUGCGGCGCCCCGCCCCCUCCUCUCGGCGGCUCCGGCGGCCGGGGGGGUCGAACCUUCCGCCCCUCCGGGGGCGUGGAGCACUAUUGGAACGCGCAUUGCCUGAGACUCCCCCGCAAGGGGGAACGCGAAAAAACGAGAACGACUCUCGGCAACGGAUAUCUUGGCUCUUGCAACGAUGAAGAACGCAGCGAAAUGCGAUACGUAGUGUGAAUUGCAGAAUUCCGCGAAUCAUCGAGUCUUUGAACGCAACUUGCGCCCGAGGGCUCGCGCCCGAGGGCAUGUCUGCCUGAGCGUCCUUACAAAUCCUACGCCGCCUCCCCCACGGGGGGAGCGGCGGACGUGGCCAUCCGCGAGCUCCUUUGGAGCGUGCGGUCGGCUGAAAUGCAUCGGCGGCACCGAGCGGCGAGACGAGUCGCGGGGGUGGUCCUUCAACCGUUCGCGUCCCCCUCGCGGGGGCGUGCGGCGGUCGCGGCCGUCCGCCACGGUGCGAAGCUAGAGAGGGCUAUCGGGCGUGCGC